rnacentral:lncRNA from 1 species
UUUCUAUUGCUCACCAAGUGGAAACAAUUAUAUUUCACUCGGAUAACUUCCCUCCCACUAAAAUAUGAUGUCUUCAAAUGCUUGAAUACCAGAUUCGGGGAGAAUUGUUAUUUUGCAGGUAUCUAUCUUUUAAUUUUGUUGCUUUAUUGUUUUGGUUGAAUAAUGGAGUGACUAAUUUUUUGUAAAUUUUGCAGUUUCAGAGGUGCUUAUGGAUGAGGUUACUACUCUCCGGAAUUUCUCUCUGUCCAAGGACACCAUCAAGUGAGCCGUCAAGGCUAUUACUUCUCAGAAAACUAUGGAGGUGGUAACUGAGAUGCUCAGCCCAAAGCCUUCGUCUAUCAGAGAUUUGGAACCUCCAGUUCCUACUGUCCAACCUUUCUAGGGUGUUGGUGUUGGAUCUAUUCAACCCAUUUCCUUCUGUCCUUUUGAGACAAUUGGAGCUAGUGCUAACUGCAUUGCUGUUACUUGCCACACUAGGACUCCCACUGACCACUCGGAAGCUUUGAUUGUUGUUACCUCCGAGCCUUCCUCCCCUGUUAUUGAGGUGUUUGAUGGACUAAGGAGGAAGAACUUGAGGUUUCCUUCCAAGCCAAUCACUAAUCCUUCUGAGGUUCCUAUAAAAAGGAGAAGGUUGGUGAAGGAGGCUGACUUGAGUGCAUCAAAGAAAGGUAAUGCCUCUUCCUCUUGCAAGGAAGUGUCUACUCCAACCCAUGUGAGUCGAAGCAAUGGUGACCUAUCUUUGGGUGUUGGCAAUGAGAUCCAAUAUGCCUUAGUUCCUUAUGAAUCUGGGUUUCACUUUCAACUGAACCUGAAGUCUACCCCUACCCUUUAUCACCGAGUUAUUGAAUAAUCAUGUUUUUGGGACUUCUCCAGACCUUAAUGAUCCCUGGUAGUGGGUACACUUUGCAAUAUUGUAAAAUCAAGUAAGCAAUUUGUGACUUAUAGUCCUAAAGUAGUGGAGGACAUAUUUGCUUACAUUUACUUAGGCCUCCUUUGUGGUUGCAUUUCUUAAAUGACUUUUGAACUCUACUUUUCCAUUUAUACCUCCUUAGUGCUUUGAUAGAAUUGAGGAAAAAGUGAUGAGUGCUCGCAAAUCAGCCUGUCAAGAUGUGGAAAAGGCUGAGGAUGAGGAGGUUGCUCGUGUGGCUGCCUCUGUGGAAGAUCAGCACAAGGUUGAUGUUAAUCAUUUAAAAGAGCUCCUUCAUGAGAUUCAACUAUGCAGCAACAGAGGAUCCUAGUUGGAGGCUUAAUUGGCUCAAGAGCAAGCAAAAGUAGAAGCCUGGACUGCCCAGGAGAAGGCUUAUGUGGAUCACAGGAUUAAGGGCUUCAUUGCUUAAGCUAUGGAAUUGGAAAAAGAAUUGGAGAAUAUAAAUGAGGAGCUAACUAAUGCUUGCGAUGAGUUGGCUAAGGCUCCUGAGGACAGACAUGCUUCUGAGUUGUUAAAGAAUCAGCUUAGGCAUGAAGUUUACUCUCUUUCUGAUAAGUGUAAGAAUAUGAGAUUACCAUUUUAGGUCUUCGAGAAGGUGCUGAAAUUGUUGCUUGGAGCCAAUAUAAAAAAAUUUUGAAGUCGAAUGAGUUUAAAGAGAAG